rnacentral:rRNA from 1 species
CCGAGUUUACAACUCCCAAACCCAAUGUGAACGUUACCAAACUGUUGCCUCGGCGGGGUCACGCCCCGGGUGCGUCGCAGCCCCGGAACCAGGCGCCCGCCGGAGGAACCAACCAAACUCUUUCUGUAGUCCCCUCGCGGACGUAUUUCUUACAGCUCUGAGCAAAAAUUCAAAAUGAAUCAAAACUUUCAACAACGGAUCUCUUGGUUCUGGCAUCGAUGAAGAACGCAGCGAAAUGCGAUAAGUAAUGUGAAUUGCAGAAUUCAGUGAAUCAUCGAAUCUUUGAACGCACAUUGCGCCCGCCAGUAUUCUGGCGGGCAUGCCUGUCCGAGCGUCAUUUCAACCCUCGAACCCCUCCGGGGGAUCGGCGUUGGGGAUCGGGACCCCUCACACGGGUGCCGGCCCCGAAAUACAGUGGCGGUCUCGCCGCAGCCUCUCCUGCGCAGUAGUUUGCACAACUCGCACCGGGAGCGCGGCGCGUCCACGUCCGUAAAACACCCAACUUUCUGAAAUGUUGACCUCGGAUCAGGUAGGAAUACCCGCUGAACUUAAGCAUAUCAUA